rnacentral:rRNA from 1 species
UACGUAGGGUGCAAGCGUUGUUCGGAAUCACUGGGCGUAAAGGGAGCGUAGGCGGGAUUGUAAGUUAGGAGUUUAAUUCUUGGGCUCAACCCGAGAUCGGCUUUUAAUACUGCAGUUCUUGAAUAUUGGAGAGGGUGAUGGAAUUCCAGGUGUAGCGGUGGAAUGCGUAGAUAUCUGGAAGAACACCAGUAGCGAAGGCGGUCACCUGGCCAAAUAUUGACGCUGAGGCUCGAAAGUUAGGGGAGCAAAC